CGAGAAAUAACGAGAUCGUUCUCUUUGAGGUCGAUCAUUGGAAUGAGUACAAUCCAGACACUUUAACGAGUAUCUACGAGAGGGCAAGUCUGGUGCCAGCAGCCGCGGUAAUUCCAGCUCUCGUAAGGUAUAGAAUUAUUGCUGUGGUUAAAAAGUUCGUAGUUGGAUUUGCAAGUUGGUGAAAGUCCACUCUAACGAGUGCGUACUCUUUGCCUUCAUUUUGUUGACAUGGGUGCAGGUCGGCUUCGGUUGGCUUGUGCUCGGUUAGCAGGAUUACUUUGAACGGCUCAAGUGCUUAAAGCACGUCUUAUGACUGAAUACCGGUGCAUGGAAUAAUGGAAAAAGGCUACGGCCGAGUUUUAUUGGUUUUAUCGGUUGAAGCAAUGGUUAAAAGGAACAACCGGGGGCAUUCGUAUCGCUACGCGAGAGGUGAAAUUCGUGGACCGUAGCGAGACGCCCAAAAGCGAAGGCACUUGCCAAGAGUGUUUUCAUUAAUCAAGAACGAAAGUCAGAGGUUCGAAGGCGAUUAGAUACCGCCCUAGUUCUGACCGUAAACGAUGCCAACUGUCGAUUCGCUUGUGGAUUUCAUUCAUGAGCGAGGAGGUUCCCGGAAACGAAAGUUUUUCGGUUCCGGGGGAAGUAUGGUUGCAAAGCUGAAACUUAAAGGAAUUGACGGAAGGGCACCACCAGGAGUGGAGCUUGCGGCUUAAUUUGACUCAACACGGGAAAUCUCACCCGGCCAGUACAUUGUAAGGAUUGACAGACUGAUAGCUCUUUCAUGAUUCGGUGAAUGGUGGUGCAUGGCCGUUCUUAGUUCGUGGGCUGGCCUGUCUGGUUUAUUCCRAUAACGAGCGAGACUUUAACUACUAAAUAGUGCGCAAAUUUGCCUUGUGCAUGUUGGUGAUCACUUCU
rnacentral:rRNA from 1 species